rnacentral:rRNA from 1 species
GAUGAACGCUGGCGGCGUGCCUAAUACAUGCAAGUCGAGCGAACGGACGAGAAGCUUGCUUUUCUGAUGUUAGCGGCGGACGGGUGAGUAACACGUGGAUAACCUACCUAUAAGACUGGGAUAACUUCGGGAAACCGGAGCUAAUACCGGAUAAUAUUUUGAACCGCAUGGUUCAAAAGUGAAAGACGGUCUUGCUGUCACUUAUAGAUGGAUCCGCGCUGCAUUAGCUAGUUGGUAAGGUAACGGCUUACCAAGGCAACGAUGCAUAGCCGACCUGAGAGGGUGAUCGGCCACACUGGAACUGAGACACGGUCCAGACUCCUACGGGAGGCAGCAGUAGGAAUCUUCCGCAAUGGGCGAAAGCCUGACGGAGCAACGCCGCGUGAGUGAUGAAGGUCUUCGGAUCGUAAAACUCUGUUAUUAGGGAAGAACAUAUGUGUAAGUAACUGUGCACAUCUUGACGGUACCUAAUCAGAAAGCCACGGCUAACUACGUG